CAGCAGCCGCGGGAAUACGUAGGUGGCAAGCGUUGUCCGGAAUUAUUGGGCGUAAAGGGCUCGCAGGCGGUUUCUUAAGUCUGAUGUGAAAGCCCCCGGCUCAACCGGGGAGGGUCAUUGGAAACUGGGAAACUUGAGUGCAGAAGAGGAGAGUGGAAAUCCACGUGUAGCGGUGAAAUGCGUAGAGAUGUGGAGGAACACCAGUGGCGAAGGCGACUCUCUGGUCUGUAACUGACGCUGAGGAGCGAAAGCGUGGGGAGCGAACAGGAUUAGAUACCCCGGUAGUCCCUGUCUCUUAUAC
rnacentral:rRNA from 1 species